AUGUACCUCAACACCUACCUGCCGCCGUUCCUCAGUGAACGUCGGAGCUUCCGCGCCAGGAUCUUCAGCAACUUCCUCCUCAUGCACCACCGCUUCGCCAACGUGGUCGCCGGCAACAAGGACAUGCACCUGGACAAGCAGUACGCCAACGGCCGCAGCAGCUCCACCCCCGCCGAGCGCAGGUUCCGCUCCAUGAACUACUCCAUCCUCACCCCGGACUCGGGCCACCUCAGGGCCGCCAUCGACUGGGACAAGGUGAGGAGCCACGCGGCGUGUCUUAUCCCCGAGUUGGCUCACCGUACUCCGGAGCUGAAACGCCGGACGGUGCUGCCGUCCCGCUGCAUGAUGCCGCACGAUGUACUCCCCAUUGGGACCGGUUUGUUCCUGAGGCGUCGGGUGAAGAAACAAGGCCCCCAGCCGCCAAAAACAGACGCUAUCAUCACGGCCAUAAAACACCAACGGUAUUGCCGCCUCGUUAGGGAUUCAAGCAUUGGAUCGAGAGAUGAAGCGCUGGAACUGCUGGUCGAUUUCCUUGAUGAGACUUUACAAGCUGGCCUGCCUAGAGGGUGCACACUAAGCUAUGACUUUCAACCAAGUGGGAAGGAAGUUGAACUUGCUGCAGAUGCUUCUGAUGCUCCGUCUGGACAAACCAUGCUCGGCACACCCACAGAUAAUUUUAAAGCCCAUGCCACAUCAUUAGUGAAAAUUCCUGGUGCUCCAAUCUGCCAGAUCAUUUCUGGUACCUUGAAAGUUCAUGCUAAAAACCCUGAGAUCUCAACACCGACAAAUGCAGGUGCAAAGCGUUUAAUACAAGCAGGUUGUCAUACUCAUAAUUCAAUGGAUGGACUGCCAACCGUUGAGGAUGAUAUUUAUGCAAAAAGGCAACGAACGACUGGGACAUUUGGUGAAAAAAGUUCGGUGGUGAACUUCAGGCCGAAGCUGAGGCCCGUCUGCUCCAUGUGA
rnacentral:rRNA from 1 species